GUGGGUAAGUAAAUCAGUGAGGUGUUUCCCAGACAACUUGGCAGCAUGUAACAUCAUUAAUAAAGGCCGCUCUCAGUUCCUUACCAUCAUGAACUUAGUAAGGAAACUUACCUGGUUAGCGGCAAAUCUUCAGUUCUGUCUUAAUUGUAUUCACGUUCCAGGAAUUCAGAAUAAUGCAGCUGACGCACUCUCAUGUUCUAAUUUGCAGAAAUUUUU